rnacentral:rRNA from 1 species
CCUACGGGAGGCAGCAGUGGGGAAUCUUGCGCAAUGGGCGAAAGCCUGACGCAGCAACGCCGCGUGGGUGAUGAAGGUCUUCGGAUUGUAAAACCCUGUCGUUAGGGACGAAGACAUGAAUCCUAAUACGAUUCAUGUUUGACGGUACCUAGAAAGGAAGCCCCGGCUAACUCUGUGCCAGCAGCCGCGGUAAUACAGAGGGGGCAAGCGUUAUUCGGAAUUAUUGGGCGUAAAGGGUGCGUAGGCGGUUUUCUAAGUCAGAUGUGUAAUCCCCGAGCUCAACUUGGGAACUGCAUCUGAAACUGGGAGACUAGAGUACUGGAGAGGAUGGUGGAAUUCCACGUGUAGCGGUAAAAUGCGUAGAGAUGUGGAGGAACACCAGUGGCGAAGGCGGCCAUCUGGACAGUAACUGACGCUGAAGCACGAAAGUGUGGGUAGCAAACAGGAUUAGAUACCCUGGUAGUCCACACCGUAAACGAUAGACACUAGUGUAGUGGUAGUGUACCCGACCUGUGCGUACGCUACGACGA